UGAGUACGAGCUGCUACGGCAGCGAAGUGGGUGACGUCAAGCUUCCAAGAAAAGCCCUACACCCGUUAAGGCAUGAUGGCCUGUACCCGAAACCGACACAGGUAGGAUGGUAGAGAAUACCGAGGGGCGCGAGGUAACUCUCUCUAAGGAACUCGGCAAAAUGGCCCCGUAACUUCGGGAGAAGGGGUGCCACCGCAAGGUGGUCGCAGUGAAGAGGCCCAGGCGACUGUUUUACCAAAAACACAGGUCUCCGCUAAGUCGCAAGACGAUGUAUGGGGGCUGACGCCUGCCCAGUGCCGGAAGGUUAAGGAAGCUGGUCAGCGUAAGCGAAGCUAGCGACUGAAGCCCCGGUGAACGGCGGCCGUAACAAUAACGGUCCUAAGGUAGCGAAAUUCCUUGUCGGGUAAGUUCCGACCCGCACGAAAGGCGUAACGAUCUGGGCGCUGUCUCGGAGAGAGGCUCGGCGAAAUAGAAUUGUCUGUGAAGAUGCGGACUACGUGCACCCGGACAGAAAGACCCUAUGAAGCUUUACUGUAGCUUGGUAUUGUGCCCGGGCUCUGAAUGCGCAGGAUAGGUGGGAGGCUUUGAUCAGCAGCUUGUGGGUUGUUGUGAGCCAACGGUGAGAUACCACUCUUUCAGAGCUAGGGUUCUAACGGUCACCCGUUAUCCGGGGACCGGACAGUAUCAGGUGGGCAGUUUGACUGGGGCGGUCGCCUCCUAAAAGGUAACGGAGGCGCGCAAAGGUUUGCUCAGGCUGGUUGGAAAUCAGCCGACGAGUGUAAAAGCAGAAGCAAGCUUGACUGUGAGACCUACAAGUCGAACAGGGACGAAAGUCGGCUUUAGUGAUCCGACGGUUCUGAGUGGAAGGGCCGUCGCUCAACGGAUAAAAGUUACUCUAAGGAUAACAGGCUGAUCUCCCCCAAGAGUUCACAUCGACGGGGAGGUUUGGCACCUCGAUGUCGGCUCAUCGCAACCUGGGGCUGAAGUCGGUCCCAAGGGUUGGGCUGUUCGCCCAUUAAAGCGGUACGCGAGCUGGGUUCAGAACGUCGUGAGACAGUUCGGUCCAUAUCCGGUGCAUGCGCAGGAAUAUUGAGAGGAGUUCUCCCUAGUACGAGGGGACCGGGAGGAACGCACCUCUGGUGUACCAGUUAUCGUGCCAACGGUAAACGCUGGGUAGCCAUGUGCGGAGAGGAUAACCGCUGAAAGCAUCUAAGUGGGAAGCCCACCUCAAGAUGAGUAUUCCCAUGGCAUAAGCCAGUAAGGUCACGGGAAGAACACCCGUUGAUAGGCUCUACGUGGAAGCGCAGCAAUGCGUGAAGCGGAGGAGUACUAAUAGACCGAGGGCUU
rnacentral:rRNA from 1 species